UACGGAGGGGGCUAGCGUUGUUCGGAAUUACUGGGCGUAAAGGGCUCGUAGGUGGCCAACUAAGUCAGACGUGAAAUCCCUCAGCUUAACUGGGGAACUGCGUCUGAUACUGGAUGGCUUGAGUUUGGGAGAGGGAUGCGGAAUUCCAGGUGUAGCGGUGAAAUGCGUAGAUAUCUGGAGGAACACCGGUGGCGAAGGCGGCAUCCUGGACCAAUACCGACACUGAGGAGCGAAAGCCAGGGGAGCAAACGGG
rnacentral:rRNA from 1 species